rnacentral:rRNA from 1 species
GACGAACGCUGGCGGCGUGCUUAACACAUGCAAGUCGACAGUGGCGAACGGGUGAGUAAUACGUGAGGAACCUGCCUUUCACAGGGGAAUAACACUGGGAAACCAGUGCUAAUACCGCAUAUGAAAGAUGGCCUCGCGCCUGAUUAGCUAGUAGGUGAGGUAACGGCUCACCUAGGUGAUGAUCAGUAGCCGGACUGAGAGGUUGAUCGGCCGCAUUGGGACUGCGACACGGCCCAGACUCCUACGGGAGGCAGCAGUAGGGAAUCUUCGGCAAUGGACGAAAGUCUGACCGAGCAACGCCGCGUGAGUGAAGAAGGUUUUCGGAUCGUAAAACUCUGUUGUUAGAGAAGCGGUAUCUAACCAGAAAGCCACGGCUAACUACGUGCCAGCAGCCGCGGUAAUUC